rnacentral:lncRNA from 1 species
CUUCAGGGUUCUGCGUCGCGAACUUGGAAUUGUUUAGCAAAUUUUACUCAGCUAUUGUGGUGUAAAUUGAAAUAUAUAAGUGCAUUGAGGCUUUUACUGCUUGGAUACGAGUUUUGGUAUCCUUUUCAUGAUCAAAACUUUUAUCAGUACAUGAAAUUUUGAACGAGUUAGAGAAUGAUGAUAGCCCGGUCCCAGGAUGCAUAACAUUUGAACCACCAGAUAACGCUAAUACUGCGGUUACUGAUGAAGAUUCAGGAGAAGAGGAUAAUAUUGUUAUACAUAACCUGCCUGGUUGAGUUUUACGUGCACCUGCUGAAGCUAUUUAUGCCAAUCAGACUGAUUCUGAAUCGGAGAGUGAAGAGGAGAUUUCUUUGACUAGUUUACAAAAAGAUCUCGCAUUGAACAGCCGCUUCAACAGCCAAGGCCAUCUACAUCUGCGGAACUAGAAAAUACAGUAGUUCGUCCUCCAUUAGUGCAAAACAAAACGUACGAAUGGAGGAAUCGACAUCGACCAAAUAAUUUUCCUAGUUUCCAGCCCUUAGAAGGCCCCAGAAAUAUGUUACGUUCUCCGAUUAACUAUUUUGACCAAUUAUUCAAUGACGAAGUUAUAAAUAUGCUUGUGGAAUAUACAAAUUUGUAUGCUUCUCCAAGUGCCCCUUGCCAUCCAACCAGGCAUUUAAAAAAACUGACCGUGGAAGUUUUGCUUAUAAGGCAAGUUUAGAAGAACAGAUACUAAUUGUUUGCAAAUGGAACGAUAACAGUGUUAUUACCGUUGCGUCAAAUGUGGAAUAUGUUGAGCCUUUACUAAAAACGAGACAUUUCUCUCAACAUUUGAAAAAAUAUGUAUAUGUUGACCAGCCACAUAUUGUUAAAAUAUACAACGAAAAUAUGGGAGGGUUUGAUCGCUUCGACCAGAAUAUAGGCCUAUACAGAACCAGCAUCAGGGGUAAAAAAUGGUAUUUCCCUUUAUUUUGUCAUAGUAUUGAUAUGGCGCUGCAUAAUUCUUGGCAAAUAUUUCGUGUUGUUGGUGGAGAACUGGAUCACCUGGGUUUUCGCAGAUCUGUUACAAGAACCUUAUUGGAAACAUACAGAAGGUGUGAAAAACGUGGACCUUGUCCUGCACCUAAAGGUCACCUUGAAAAUGUACGACAUGAUAACAUCGGUCACCUAAUAAGCUAUGCAAGAUUCUGAAAUGCAAAGUAUGUAAAAGAAACUGCAAUUAUAUUUGCGUGAAGUGUAAUAUACGUUUGCAUCCUAAAGUGUUUUCUUAGUAACAAUUCAGUAUAAAAUUGUCGCAAAAACUUAAAUUUUACUAAAACAAUAAUAUAUAAUACUUUUAUGCAAUAAAAAAUAUUUUAUUUAUGUCUCCAUACGUUGUUCAACACUUAAUAGUAAAUAGUAUAUGUUUUGCCGACCGACCCAUAUAUGGGAUGUCAUUUUCCAGCUUUUCCGAGAUACACUAAUUUUUUUUUAUUAAUUUUCCUGAAAUAUUGAG